rnacentral:lncRNA from 1 species
GGGGAGGGGAGAGGUGGGGGGUUGGAGGAGCCACACAGCAGAGGCAAGAGAGAGAGAGAGAGAGAGAGAGAGAGGGGUGGGGGGAGCCACACAGCAGCGCAAGAUCUUAGUUUAUUAUCCAUUGAGACUUGUUUUAAAAAAAAAAAAUUGUACAAUUGCCUUCAUUGAUGGAGUUUCAUGCGCCACAUUUGCAACACUAUAGAUUAGAAAGGCUGUCGUGUCGUUUUACGAGUACCCCUUGUCGCCAAGAGGAAUAAUCUUUCGGGUGCUUGAUGGUGCUAAUAGCAUUCCUGCGGUUGCCACUAGUGAGCAGAGGAUGCUGCUGCUGCCCGACGACGCUCUGACGAUCAGGGAGGGCAAUCCCGACUGCCUUACCUCACUCUCAACCGUUUAACCUACAUUAUCUAACCUAUAUAUUUUGUGUAGUCUGGCUGUCUGUUCCUCGGCGGCGCACAGAACAGCCAAGGAUUGCUUUAGGAAUAUGAAUACAGCCGUAACUGUGUGGCUCGGUCCCAUCGUCUAGGUUCUUAUUCCGUCGCGAUUGGGGGAAUUCUGUCUCCCGUUCGUUUUCUUUAAUGACUGGAUUUGUGUUUUGCUGCGCGAUGUACAUGGAUAAAACCAGUGUGCUCCGGGGCCCAUCCUCCUCCAGUCCUCGGCUGAUGACUAAGAGCCUAUCCCUGGAGCCUGGUGCUCACGGUGCAUGCCUCGGGGCCCACGACGACGACUCAGACACCCAGACAGAGACCCCUCGCCUAAGCUCAGACCCCGGCCCUCAAACCUCCGGGCCACUGGGUCUGCAACCCCCCAGGGCUCUGCUGCACCCCGCUCUACACAGCUGUAACAGAGGAGACAACAGGAGUGGAACUCCUCAAGAAGUGCCCUCCACCGCCCUCAAGACACGCCCUCCCUUACCUGGGCCUAAACCACAAGGUAAAUCAUAAUCAAUUCAAAUGUUAUUUGUAAACAACAGGGAAAUGCUUAGUUACAGGUCGUUCCCAACAAUGUCGAGAGAAAGAAAAUAGAGAAAUAAUAUAACAGUAAAAUACAAAUAAUAAAAGUAGUAUUUAAUACACAAUGAGUAACGAUAUGAUGGCUAUAUUACACAGAGUACCAGUACUGAGUCAAUGUGCAGGGGUACGAGGUAAUAACAUGGCUAUAUACACAGGGUACCAGUACCGAGUUAAGAGUAUGCAAAGCUGUCAUCAAGGCAAAGGGUGGCUACUUUGAAGAAUCCUAAAUUUCAAAUAUAUGUUUUUGGAUUUGUGUAACACAAUGAUUCCGUGUGUGUUAUUUCAUAGUUUUGAUGUCUUCGCUAUUAUUCUGCAGUGUAGAACAUUGCAGAGAGUCGGGUAGCUAUUUGGGUAGCUAUUUAAGCAUCUAUUUAGCAGUCUUAUGGUGGCUUGGGGG